rfam:Thermococcus sp. 5-4, complete genome.
GGAACUCAUGAGGCCUCCCCGAGAAAAGGCGGGUUUCCCGCCCGAGGGGGCCGAGGUUCGAAAGAUUUAAAAAGCCAUCCUAGUCAACGAGACUAGA